UACGUAGGGUGCAAGCGUUAAUCGGAAUUACUGGGCGUAAAGCGUGCGCAGGCGGUUAUGUAAGACAGUUGUGAAAUCCCCGGGCUCAACCUGGGAACUGCAUCCGUGACUGCAUAGCUAGAGUACGGUAGAGGGGGAUGGAAUUCCGCGUGUAGCAGUGAAAUGCGUAGAUAUGCGGGAGGAACACCGAUGGCGAAGGCAAUCCCCUGGACCUGUACUGACGCUCAUGCACGAAAGCGUGGGGAGCAAACAGGAUUA
rnacentral:rRNA from 1 species